UGGAAUGAGUCAUUUCCUCACACGCUUCCCGGUCAAACUCUUCCCCACACACCCACAAGAAAAAGAAUUGAUCGAACUUUGACUUUUUGCCAGAUUUUGGAUAAUUAGCUUGUUAAUUGCAGGCCUGCUCCUCUGAUGAAAUGGUUGCUCCAUAGUGUAUUUGCAGAUAACAUGUUUGUAAGAAUUUCUGUUGUUGUAUUACUUGUAUUUUGCACAAUAACAUCCGAAGCCCAAAACAGUAGUGUGUGUUCUUCUUCUUGUGGUGAUAUUCAUAACAUCAACUUCCCUUUUCGAUUGAAAUCUGAUCCUGGAAAUUGUGGAGAUUCAAGAUUCGAGCUUGAUUGCCAGAACAACCGUACAGUCAUUACUUUUGAUUCGAGAAAAUACAACGUACUCGAAAUCAACUAUGAUGAGUUCUUGAUCAGAGCAAUUGACCCUGGUUUGGAGCAGAAAAACAGUAACUGUACUUCUUCUCCCAAUUAUCACACCACAAGUUAUCCUUUCUCCUCAACUUUUGACUUUGGCAUAUCAAUCAUUCCCAUUAUCUAUGUCAAUUGUUCGGCCACUGCGAAUUCUUCUCGAUAUGUUGAGACUACUUUCUGUGGAUCACAGAGCCAGAGCCAUACCUAUGUCGCCAUAGGAGAGGGCAUGUUGAUUUCGGAUUUGGUUGCGAGUUGCAGAGUGGAAAUGGUGGGCUGGGUUUCGGCUCGUGGCCUUUCGGGGGAUAAUACUUCUCUUUCGAGCAUUGAAGAUGCCCUGAGUUAUGGAUUUGAACUUUCUUGGAAACGCACCUUCUUGUGCAGAGAAUGUGAAGCGAGUCAAGGCAACUGUUUUGCUGAAGGUGACGGUUAUACUUGCAGCCACCGCUGCUACGAUGACACGGGGUUUGAUCUUCCCCUCCCUUGUAGCAUCCACUACUAUGGCGUUCUUACUAUAAUGUACGGUGGAAUAAGUAUAGUCUCAAUUCUAGGGUUACGACUUCUCUUUGGAUUGGUUUUCCUGACUGCAUUAAUAGUGUAUAAAUUGAGAAGGCGACACUUAUCUAUGUAUCAAUCAAUUGAAGACUUCCUGCAAGUCCAGAGCAACCUCUUGCCGAUUAAAUACUCCUACUCUGAGAUUAAAAAUAUGACUAACAAGUUCAAGGAGAAACUAGGCGAAGGAGCGUAUGGAACUGUCUUUAAAGGAAAGCUGCGUAGUGGUCCUUUUGUUGCAGUGAAGAUGAUGCACCAAUCUAUGGCGAGUGGGGGAGAAUUUAUCAGUGAAGUUUCCACAAUUGGAAGAAUACACCAUGUUAACAUCGUGCAGCUCGUUGGAUUCUGCGUAGAGGGAUCAAAACGUGCUUUGGUUUAUGAGUUCAUGCUCAAUGGUUCUUUGGACAAGUACAUAUCUCCGCAAGAAAAAACUGUUUCCUUGAGUUACAAGCAAAUGUUCGACAUAUCUCUUGGAGUGGCCUCUGGCAUAGACUACCUACAUCGGGGCUGCGAUAUGCAGAUCUUACAUUUUGAUAUUAAGCCUCACAACAUUCUUCUUGAUGAAAAUUUCAAUCCCAAAAUAUCUGACUUUGGGCUUGCGAAACUGUACUCCUCAGAUGAUAGUAUUGUGAGUCUAACUGCAGCUAGAGGGACUAUGGGCUACAUGGCUCCGGAGCUGUUUUAUAAAAAUAUUGGAGGAGUGUCAUACAAAGCAGAUGUGUAUAGCUAUGGCAUGUUAUUGAUGGAAAUGGCAGGCAGAAGGAAGAACAUGAACCCAUUUGAGGACCAUUUAAGCCAAAUUUACUUUCCUACCUGGAUUUACGACCAGUUUAAUGAAGGAAAUGAUAUAGAGAUACAGGAUGCAAGCGAGGAAGACCGGAGACUUGUCAAGAAGAUGAUGAUUGUGGCUUUGUGGUGCAUACAAAUGAAGCCUGCUGAUCGCCCUGCCAUGAACAAAGUAGUUGAAAUGCUUGAAGGAGAUGUUGGACUCCUACAGAUGCCCCCAAGACCUUUUAUAGCUCCUCGUGAUCAGAUUGCUGGAGAUAGCGUUGAAACAAUAGGAGUUUCGAGUGAUGUAUAGGUGGUUGGUUACUCACUCUUGUGCAAAACUAUGGUCAUAACUCAUAAUUCACUUGAUUUCUGAUGUCCAAUAUCUAUCAGAAGAGCUCAAUCAAUCUCUAGCCACAAGUAGCCAUUUCCUCCUUGGUUUUAAUAUGGUGUGAUUAUGGUGAUAAAAUAUGUUGUGGGAUUCUCAAUCUUGAUUGCAGUAGUGGUGUGGCAGUGGAAAAGACGUAAUUUGAACACAUGGAAUGAUAAUUUGAUGAAUAGAGUAUCCUUCUCCAACGAACAAAACUAUUAACUUUUACUACUGUUUCAAUUUUUACUUUAUUUUUUAAUAAUAAUAAAAGAUUCAAUUUUCCCAUCA